ACUUGGUCUUAGAGACCGUUUACAUGUUGAGAAAAAAAGAACAGAAAAAGAAAGAAAUGAAAAUUAAAAACAAAAAGACAGAUCUUGAACAUUCUCUUCACUGAGGAAAGGAGAUAUGAAGAAAAAUCGUCUCCAAUGGUGAGAAUCAAAGGUCGUCAACUACUGCCUGAGUAGUUCAAAUAAGUAGAUCCGCCAUCAAAGCGCUUAUCUUCUCCGCUUUCGCAACUGCAAUGGAUAUUAGAGUUAUAGAUCGGCAUUCAAAGUUAUAGAUCUUCUUCGCCUUUGAAACUGCAUGACGAUUUAAAGUUCUAAAUCCGCCUUCAAAGCGGUUAUCUUCUCCGAUGUAUACCAGAUUCGGCUUGAGUCAAAAAAGUUUAGUCGGAGAAAGUUAUUGACUUCACUUUUCCGAUCUAUAGAAUGAAGUCACACGAAUUUUCUGAAGAGAAAAAAAUGGACCUUCAAUUUAGGAUGACACAACAACAGUUUCAGUUGAACCAAACAAUGACUUUAAUAUAAAAGAUAAGUUAUUUUCAUAAACUUACCAUCUUUUACAUUAGAUAUAAUGUAUCGGCCAUUGGAUUAUACCUUUAUGAAAUAUUGUUUACAUUAGAUAUAUUUUAUAUUCAUCCAACACAAAUCACAAACAAUAUUUCGAAAAUAUUGACUGUAGAAUUAAUGUUGGUUCCUAAUUUUACAGAACAAAGCUAGCAGUUGAAUAAUGAUGAAGGACAUGAGGCAAAGUCCAAUGGAGACAAGCAUAAGCCUUACAGUACAUAGAUAAGUCUUCGAUUAUAGCUUUAUUUUUGGUUAUACAUGAUAAACGGUAUAUGUUAUAUAGAUGGUAAGUUGACUUAAUAGACACCAUUCCACAUUAAUGUGCAUGUAGAGCAUUAAAAGGUUUAGAGACAUAAGCUUAUUUCAAUAUGAAGGACAUGGGACAGAAUCAUGACUGCAAAGCAAUGCGAACCUAAGUCUUUGUCCUUCUUCUUCUUCACCGACCAUCCAGAUCUCAGUUUCUGCUCCAGCUUAUUCACCAUCGAUUCCAUUUAAACAUAUAAACCAGUUUCCUGGUGUUUUGUUGUUAGUUCUUCUCCAAAAUCAAGAACGAGCUAUCCUCAAAAUUCAAGAAUUGAGUUAAACUGAUUCUGAAAAAAAAAAUCUUAUCUUUAAAGAGGACACAAAGUUUAAAGCUCAUAGACUCCCGUCUGAUCUUCUAAGAAUAUAAGUAUUGGUGGGAUUUGAGGAGUCCCUUAGGAGGAAGGGGACCACGAAAAGUAGAGAUCGAGGAAGAAAGAGAAGGGAAAAUUCCUUAUAUAACGAACAUUUCUUAUAUAAGGGACAUCCUUUACCUUAUCCCGACCAAAAAAGAAGAAAAAAAAACAAAGUAAGUCUCUUAACUUAGAGACUUUCCCGAGUCUCAUCGAUAAAGAUGCCCUAAAGACUCAAUGAUACUUGCAAAAAAAGUCUUAUUUUUUUGGGACAGAGUAAUUUUUUUUUAUCAGUGGACAGAAUAGUUUAGUCUUCAUUCCUAGAUCAGAAAAUGUAAAGGCCGACAUGAUGGCAAAACAAGCUCUUUCGACUGUAAGGCCUAUUUAAAUGGAUGAAAGCCCAAGUUUGAACACAAAAAAAAGAAUAGUUUAGUCAGUGUGUUUUACCAAUAUGUCGGUUCAAAACAGUCGUCUUCUCGAUGUAUUAUUGCAAGUGUGGCAUCUCCAUUUCUGAUAUAUAAUUAAAUAAUUAUCGAACUUAAUUUUUUUUUAACAUCAAUUUGUUUGGUUAUCUAUGUCCAUAUAAUACGUUUAUCUUUUUGAUUGUACAUUCACAAAACAAUUAAAGCAAGCAUGUUUGAUAUACACAUAUGCAGUAGUUAGUAGAAGGAUGAAUGAUCUAUGACUUGCAAAACAGUGCAAGUGAAGUCAAAGCCUAAA